GCUUACGGCCAUACCACCCUGAGCACGCCCGAUCUCGUCUGAUCUCGGAAGGUAAGCAGGGUCGGGCCUGGUUAGUACUUGAAUGGGAGACCGCCUGGGAAUACCAGGUGCUGUAAGCU
rnacentral:rRNA from 1 species